rnacentral:rRNA from 1 species
CCUACGGGAGGCAGCAGUGAGGAAUAUUGGUCAAUGGGCGCGAGCCUGAACCAGCCAAGUCGCGUGAGGGAAGACGGUCCUAUGGAUUGUAAACCUCUUUUGUCGGGGAGCAAAAGACGACACGCGUGGCGUUCCGAGAGUACCCGAAGAAAAAGCAUCGGCUAACUCCGUGCCAGCAGCCGCGGUAAUACGGAGGAUGCGAGCGUUAUCCGGAUUUAUUGGGUUUAAAGGGUGCGCAGGCGGAAGAUCAAGUCAGCGGUAAAAGUGAGAGGCUCAACCUCUUCGAGCCGUUGAAACUGGUUUUCUUGAGUGAGUGAGAAGUAUGCGGAAUGCGUGGUGUAGCGGUGAAAUGCAUAGAUAUCACGCAGAACUCCGAUUGCGAAGGCAGCAUACCGGCGCUCAACUGACGCUCAUGCACGAAAGUGUGGGUAUCGAACAGGAUUAGAUACCCGGGUAGUC